rnacentral:rRNA from 1 species
CAGCAGCCACGGUAAAACGUAGGUGGCAAGCGUUGUCCGGAAUUAUUGGGCGUAAAGGGCUCGCAGGCGGUUUCUUAAGUCUGAUGUGAAAGCCCCCAGCUCAACCGGGGAGGGUCAUUGGAAACUGGGAAACUUGAGUGCAGAAGAGGAGAGUGGAAUUCCACGUGUAGCGGUGAAAUGCGUAGAGAUGUGGAGGAACACCAGUGGCGAAGGCGACUCUCUGGUCUGUAACUGACGCUGAGGAGCGAAAGCGUGGGGAGCGAACAGGAUUAGAUACCCCUGUAGUCCCUGUCUCUUAUAC